CAGGACCGUCUUCUGCUUCACUGUACGUACUGCAGGACAGUCUUCUGCUUCACGGUAGGUACUGCAGGACCGUCUUCUGCUUCACGGUAGGUACUGCAGGACCGUCUUCUGCUUCACGGUACGUACUGCAGGACCGUCUUCUGCUUCACGGUAGGUACUGCAGGACAGUCUUCUGCUUCACGGUAGGUACUGCAGGACCGUCUUCUGCUUCACGGUACGUACUGCAGGACCGUCUUCUGCUUCACGGUAGGUACUGCAGGACAGUCUUCUGCUUCACGGUAGGUACUGCAGGACAGUCUUCUGCUUCACGGUACGUACUGCAGGACCGUCUUCUGCUUCACGGUACGUACUGCAGGACCGUCUUCUGCUUCACGGUACGUACUGCAGGACCGUCUUCUGCUUCACGGUAGGUACUGCAGGACUGUCUUCUGCUUCACGGUAGGUACUGCAGGACCGUCUUCUGCUUCACGGUACGUACUGCAGGACCGUCUUCUGCUUCACGGUAGGUACUGCAGGACUGUCUUCUGCUUCACGGUAGGUACUGCAGGACCGUCUUCUGCUUCACGGUACGUACUGCAGGACCGUCUUCUGCUUCACGGUACGUACUGCAGGACUGUCUUCUGCUUCACGGUAUGUAGUGCAGGACUGUCUUCUUGGGGAGAGACUAACAUGAUGCUUAAGUAGUCUGAAGUGUUACAUUUCUAACUCAAAACAGCAGUACAGAAUUUCUUCAACAUCUUUGUUUUCGUUAUUAAAAUAAAAACACUCUUUCAAAAUGUUGAUGUUUAUUUAGUUAUGAAUCCAUAAUGAAUUACUAUUGGAAUAAAUAUCAGUGAAUUACAGAAAUAUUGGAACAAAGUAGUCUAAUGAAGGUAAAACAAAUAGUUGCUUACUGUAAAAUACUCUUUUAAACACACAUGGUCACGUUGUACAGCGUCAUUAUGGCUAUUAGCAGGGCUAUAUAUUGGCCUUUAUGGGCGACGCACAAUUGGCCCAGAGCUUCUCUCACUCUAAAAACAGAAAUGCAUGUUUUGGCCUUCAUUCAGAUUUCAAUCGCUCUUUCGUUUUUUUUUUUUUUUAAACAAAAUAACCACCAUAAUAUCGUUAUAUAUUAUCAAGUUGGCUGCCACCGGGAAACCCAUGAGGAGGCUUAUGGUUUUAAUUUAGAAUCCUUAAAUCCUCUAUAUGUAAUUGUUGGCGAAGUGUCAUAUUUUUCGAUGUAGUGUAGGCCUAUCGUAGGUGACAUGAGUCUCACUCAUGUUGAGUAAUGUGCUAUUAAAAGUGGUGUAGGUGUUAUUUAUUUAAAGAGCAUAUUGAAGUUCGAAGCAAUAGAAUUUGAAGCAAAAGCCUACAACUUUUAGCAUCAUUUUGCGCUGCUCUGAGACAAGAAUGGGGACUGGUCUUGAUAAAUCAAUUAGACUUUUAUUUUCACCUAAUCUCUGUUUGGGUAUUGGUUAGACCAGAAUCAAAAAAAUAAGUUGCAGAAAUGUUAUGCUCUUAAUGUAAUCUUAUUCAACUAGGCAAGUCAGUUCAGAACAAAUUCUUAUUUACAAGGACGGUCUACUCUGUCCUACCCAUCCGGGUAUUGAAUCCCGGUCUCCCGCAUGCCCUGCACGCACAAGGGGAUUCUUUAGCUAAAUAGCCCAGUACGGUACUGCCGACCGUCAGGUUGUACAGCGCCAUAUUUUCCGUUCUAUCCUAACGGAAACCCAGAGGUUUUUUUAUGGAAUAGAAAUACGAUAAUAUUAAUCAAAUGAAUUAUGCAAGUACCAAUCAAAAGUUGACACACCUAUUCAUUCCAGGAUCUUUCUUUAUUUUUACUAUUUCCUACAUUGCAGAAUAAUAGUGAAGACAUCACAACUAUGAAAUAACACAUAUGGAAUCAAUCACAAAUUCUUAUUGACGAGGACCACCUACUCCGUCCUCCCCGUCGGUGAAUUGAAACCCCGGUCUCCCCCGUUCCCGCAUUUUCUAGUACAGCCAUUAUUGAAGGUACUCGAGGUCAAGGAGAAAGUCUGGAGAUGGCCUGCUCUCUCUUAUGUAAGGAAUUAGGCACUUUCCCAUGUUUACUACAGUAUGUAUUGUAGGCUACGUUUACUUGCCAGACUGCACAGUAGCCUAAUAAACAAAUGCUAGCCCUAACACUUUGUAGUUAGUCUAGCAGCCAGCUAUCUAAACUUAUAGUAAUCAAGGUCUACCGACCGGGGGCCCUCAUUGAUCAUCAGAUAUAUUAAAAACUGCAAAAAAAUUUGUCUCCACCCUACGGCAAAAUGUGUAGAAUUGCAAGAAAUUAGCUGUAAAAUUGCACAUUUUUCUCUCCGUCAAUGGCAAAAUGAGUAGAAUUGCCCCAACAAAAUGUUGGUUCGGGCCCCUAAAAGGCUAGGGUUGUCUCUGACCGCAUGUGGGAGGUAUGGGAUGUAGGUGCAGACCUGUGAGCUACUUCAUAAGUUUGCAUUCUUUUAACGCAAUAGACCUUCAGAAUGGUGAGUGAAAAAUGCUGAGGGCAAAUGGAGAGUAACUGACAAAAUAAAGGAAACACUUGAGUAAAUGAGGGAUACAAAGUAUAUUGAAAGCGGACGCUUCCACACGGGUGCGUUUCCGACUGAAAGACACAAUGUUGCAGUUUUAUAGCUAAUUUCCUAUAAUAAAAAUAAAUAAAUAUACAUUGAUGGCUCAUGACGUGUUCACGUACUAUCACG